AACGCUAGCUACAGGCUUAACACAUGCAAGUCGAGGGGCAGCAUCAUCAAAGCUUGCUUUGAUGGAUGGCGACCGGCGCACGGGUGAGUAACACGUAUCCAACCUGCCGACAACACUGGGAUAGCCUUUCGAAAGAAAGAUUAAUACCGGAUGGCAUAAUUAUUCCGCAUGGGAUAAUUAUUAAAGAAUUUCGGUUGUCGAUGGGGAUGCGUUCCAUUAGGCAGUUGGCGGGGUAACGGCCCACCAAACCUACGAUGGAUAGGGGUUCUGAGAGGAAGGUCCCCCACAUUGGAACUGAGACACGGUCCAAACUCCUACGGGAGGCAGCAGUGAGGAAUAUUGGUCAAUGGACGAGAGUCUGAACCAGCCAAGUAGCGUGAAGGAUGACUGCCCUAUGGGUUGUAAACUUCUUUUAUACGGGAAUAAAGUGAGCCACGUGUGGCUUUUUGUAUGUACCGUAUGAAUAAGGAUCGGCUAACUCCGUGCCAGCAGCCGCGGUAAUACGGAGGAUCCGAGCGUUAUCCGGAUUUAUUGGGUUUAAAGGGAGCGUAGGCGGGUUGUUAAGUCAGUUGUGAAAGUUUGCGGCUCAACCGUAAAAUUGCAGUUGAUACUGGCGACCUUGAGUGCAACAGAGGUAGGCGGAAUUCGUGGUGUAGCGGUGAAAUGCUUAGAUAUCACGAAGAACUCCGAUUGCGAAGGCAGCUUACUGGGAUUGUAACUGACGCUGAUGCUCGAAAGUGUGGGUAUCAAACAGGAUUAGAUACCCUGGUAGUCCACACAGUAAACGAUGAAUACUCGCUGUUGGCGAUAUACAGUCAGCGGCCAAGCGAAAGCAUUAAGUAUUCCGCCUGGGGAGUACGCCGGCAACGGUGAAACUCAAAGGAAUUGACGGGGGCCCGCACAAGCGGAGGAACAUGUGGUCUAAUUCGAUGAUACGCGAGGAACCUUACCCGGGCUUAAAUUGCAACUGACGGAACCGGAAACGGUUCUUUCUUCGGACAGUUGUGAAGGUGCUGCAUGGUUGUCGUCAGCUCGUGCCGUGAGGUGUCGGCUUAAGUGCCAUAACGAGCGCAACCCUUACGGGUAGUUACCAUCAGGUUAUGCUGGGGACUCUACCCGGACUGCCGUCGUAAGAUGUGAGGAAGGUGGGGAUGACGUCAAAUCAGCACGGCCCUUACGUCCGGGGCUACACACGUGUUACAAUGGAGGGUACAGAAGGCAGCUACACGGCGACGUGGUGCUAAUCCCAAAAGCCUCUCUCAGUUCGGAUUGGAGUCUGCAACCCGACUCCAUGAAGCUGGAUUCGCUAGUAAUCGCGCAUCAGCCACGGCGCGGUGAAUACGUUCCCGGGCCUUGUACACACCGCCCGUCAAGCCAUGAAAGCCGGGGGUACU
rnacentral:rRNA from 1 species